CCUGGCGGCCAUAGCGAGCGGGUACCACCCGAUCCCAUUCCGAACUCGGAAGUGAAAACGCUCAGCGCCGAUGAUAGUACGGGUUUACUCGUGCGAAAGUAGGACACUGCCAGGC
rnacentral:rRNA from 1 species